CUUCCCGCCUUUUUCUCAUUGACGGCACAAAUCUCACGCCGACGAUGCAGGACCAUCUCCCUCCAAAAGCUGCUUUUAGAAUCUCACACCUGUAUUUUCUUUGUACAUCUCUGAGCAUGCCAGGAUUCUGAUCUGGCAGCUGAGCUCUGAAGAUGACACCCGGAGGUCUGGUGGGGAUUUCUGACACAGCUUUGCCCUAAAUGGACCAACUAAUUGCACAGUCGAUGGCUAAUCCCUCGCCAUUGUUGUUGUUGUUUUCCCCUCCUCUCCUCUGUUCAUUCCCCCAGCCUCUAACCUGCUUUCCACACCCGUCCACUUUUUUUCUUUUUUUUUUUCCAUUUCAGCUUUAGCUCAAUGAUUUGGUGAGUGGCCGCCUCCUCUAUUACCGUGGCAACAUCAACCAAUCCCUGCCACCUCCCUGCUCUGGUGUCCUGCGGUCACAGUGGUCCGGUCGGCGGUGGUCCUCGCAGAGGGAGCCAAUGAGGGUGAGGCAGGGAAGAAGACAAGAGGGGAGGAGAGAGAGAUGCAAGUGUAUGUGUAUGUGUGUGGGAAAGGGGGUCCUAAUGAGGAGAGUUAAUCUUCCCUCAGAGGGAGAAAAACAUGGCCAUGCGGCUUUGUGUGUGUACUUGUGUGCACACAAGUACACAUACAGAGAGGGUAUCCAGGCCAUCUGGAUCCUCACUAAGCGGACAUCUGGAUGGCGGAGAAAACAGCAUGAAAGAACAAUGUGCACGUGUAACCCCGCCUGCUGGUCUUCACAGAGAUGUGUCAUUGAGUUGCACUGCUGCAGUUAGGAAAACCCUGAGCGUAUACAGGUAAAUUUAUUGAAAGAGAAGAUCUAUAGAGUUGGUGCAAAGGAAAUAAGCAAACACUCCUCUGUGUGCUCCAACCUUAUGCAAUGUUUUAGUGAAAUAAUAAAAAAAAAUAGAAGACAAUUUCCUUUAUUCCUUCAUAAAUUGACUUAAAUUAAAAAGUAAGAAUUCUCUUAAAAUGUUUAUUGGAACCCAUUAUUGGGAUCUACAUAAAAGGUAAAAAUUUCAAGGCAAGUCAUGGAUAUUUCCCCUCUCAGUCCAAGUUUUCCUUUAUCCGUUCCCAAUUCCUGUUCCAAACAAUGUUUGUUUGUUUCCCUACUUCCUCAAUUCUUCUCCCCUACAAGACUAAACAAUACUCAAGUUUUCCCCUUCUUCCUCAUAUACUAAGUGUUACGGCCGAAUCUGCUCUUCUGAGGCUAGAAGUCACAAAAAUACAAAUUAACUGUCAGACAAAGAUAUUCACACCUACACAUGGGAAGACAAGCAUUCAUGUGCAAAACUGAAAGCACAGUCUCAAUUGUUGGUUCUUAAGCAUAUAGAUAAGAUAAAAAUUAUCUGAAUGAUCUUUCUAAGUUCGAGGUUCGAAAAUUACAUCUCAAAUACAAAACUUGAGAUGUACCUGAUUGAAUACACACUCUAAGUGUGUACACACUUUAUUAAAUAAUCAUCAGUGUAAAUACCUCUAUGAAAAGUGGAAGUAUUUGUAGUUUGCUGCUCUGGAGAAUGCAAUGUCAACCAUAUAAAAGGAAUUGCUGCUUGCCAUCAUUUUCAGAAAGGUUAUAAAAAUAUUUCCAAGUAACUUAAACGUCAUCAUUCUGCAGUGAAGAAAAAAUCUUACCAGGAAUAAAGAGUGUAGGAGGAGUGGACUUCUGAGUAAAUUUGCCCAAUUAAGACAAAGAGACGUUUAGACAUUCAAGACCUCAAUCACAGACUCGACAACUCUCAGCACGUCAAGUAGAAUUUUUUUUCCAUUAAAAGCUUUUCUUAUGUAAAUUUGUCUCCAUCAAAAGAAUUUAAUUUCUAAAACCACGUUUCCCAAAUUCUGCUUCAGAAACCUGGAAAACCACUUGGGGGGGGGGGGGGGGGCCCACAAAAAAUUGGGGGCCCCCUCUAGCUCUCAACCUUUGACCCUACCAGAUCAAACUUUUGCCAGGGGAGGCUGAAAGCAAGCCUGUUAAAACAUGUAAACGCCUUCUCUCGCUCCAUGAUGGAGUGCUGCGAGAAGCCCACCAGACAGGCUGUGGGUGUAAUAACACACCGUUACCAGCCCAAAUAUCACAAGAUGUCUAAAUCCCCACCGACAAAUGGCCGCUCAGAGUCCCAGAAGCCCCGAGUCCUGGGGCUUCCUGUCUCUUUAUGGCUGUAAGUGGGUAGACCUCAAGCUCUGGGGGCAGAGGUAAGCUGUUAUCCAGAAGCUGGGGGGAGGAUGAGGGGUGUCUGCUGAUGUGAACUUUGUAAGGUGGAAAUUCAAUCAGGGUUAUAAAUUAAGUUGAGUAAGAUAACAUUUUGUAUCAAAUAGAAAUACACAAAAGACUAUUUAACUUUCAUGAGAAAAUAUAUUUUCAUAAUGCCCCUUUAAAAAGGUUUUCAAAAUCCUUGUUAUGAAGAGACGGACCUUCUGAAAUCCUUCAACUAUAAAAUGUAAAUCGGCUUUUGAUGAAACCAACAAUGACAGGAAAACCGAAAUUUAAACCUGUCAAAUAAUUAUUGUAAAAAAAAAAAAAAAAAAAAAAGUUUGCCACAAACUACAACUCAUAGCUACCUUGGCAACUAAGGACCCUUAAAGACUCGUAAAGAAAUUGACUGGUGACUAAUCAUGAAUGUACGAUCGUUUAAAGAAAAAAACAUUUCUUUCUGAUCAGUGAAUGCCCCAACAACUAAGCUCCAAGAAGUUAAUUUGGCAAGACUCAGUGUGGACGCCAACCUGCAUCCACUUUAGCUAUUUUUAGUAUCAAUAAGCUGUUCAAAAAAAAGAAGUCCCAUAAGGUAAAAGAAGAUUCUAAAAUAAAAUAACCCCUUUUACUUCACAGGCAUGGCAUCGAUGGUCCUUUAAGACAGUGUUUCCCAACCCUGGUCCUCAAGGCACACUGCCCUGCAUGUUUUAGAAAUUUCCCUGCUUUAAUGCACCUCAUUCAGCUGAUUGCAGUUUAGUAAAUGCCUCCUAAUUGAAAUCACCUAUGCUGAAGCAAGGAAAUACCUAAAACAUGCAGGGCAGUGUGCCUUGAAGACCAGGGUUGGGAAACACUGCUUUAAGACCUUUAAGUGGUGAGAUUUCAGUGAAAAACAGGAAGUUGAAUAAAAAUUUCUCAAUGGUAGAAGGGUUAAUGGCACAAUUACCUUACAAAAAUAAGAUAUUGGAUUUGAAUCCCAGCCUUGGAUUUUUCCGUAUGAGCCAUGUGAGUGUGUUGGGGUUUUAGGGAGGGCUUCUCAGUGGGUAGUACGGCUUCCUUCCUCUGUCUAAAAACAAGAGUUAAUGGCUUAAUGGGAGUGUGUGUACAUUGUUGUUUCUCUGUGUUUCCCCGAGAUGAAUCGGCAACCUGUACAGGGUGUACUCCGCCUCUAGGCUGACAACCGCUGCAGAUGGGCACCAAUUUUUCACCAGGAUCUUGUCCUGAUGAUGGGAGAAUCCAACCACUGUGCAAAGUCUGGACUUUGCACAGAGGGCAGUCCUCAGAUUAUAGGACUGCCCUCCAUGGCUUGUACAGCAGACACUAGGCAUAAUGGGUUCAUCACUUCAUCUGCAACACUUUUUACCCCGAUGUGCUCUUCAAGAAGAAAGAUUGCCACAUAAGCCAAAUGAGGGCGGUGCAGGCACGCUUUGCAAAUCCUCUGUGGACAGAGGAAACAUGGAAGGGGCACGUGAUCGCACAUGGCGCUGGCACACUCCGAACCACGCAGGCUAAACAGGUGGGGUUUAAGAAAAAGCCAUACAGGGUGUAGGAACAUUCACAGGAUUAAAGUGGAAAUUAAACUGGACAGACCCCUCUCUGCCCCCCUGUCACACUCCCCGUUUCUUAAUCUGUGUUUUUGUGACCUGCACACACAAAGACUGAGUAUGUAUGCAAGUGAUCCAAAGUUAAAGUCGGGGGGUUUGAAUGAGUGCAUGCAGUGGCAUUGGAGGGACGACAACCAUAAACUACUCCACAUUUUACACCUUCAGCGCACACCAGACACCCGACCCUGCUGUCUGGAAACCAGGUCAUGCCACAAGUCCGGCCUUCAGUUUGUGCACCAUGUAAUGUAAUAAAUGUGUUAUAUGAAAAGAAAAAAAAUAUGCUUUGAUAUUAAUACAGUAAUACUUGUUUUAAAAAUGAGAUAAGGCAAAUGCAGUCAAAAAAUUGGUCCAGAACAUUUUGUUUAAGAAAUACAAAGUCAGAGUCUGACCAUAGUGGG